GGGGGCGCACUGGUUUCGACGGGGACGUGGAAGCCGGAGUUGCAGGUCGAGGCGCCGCUGGCCUCGUUAAAAGCGGCAAAAACAGUAAUUGCCAACGAAGACAACUACGCCUACGCUUACGCUGCCUAAAGCAGUGUGAGCC
rnacentral:tmRNA from 1 species